UUUUUAUCUAGCCGCCAUUAAACCUCUGCUUUGCGUUUCUUUCUCUCUUCUUCUAUACGAGAAAUCCAUUUUUUUGGUAGAAGACAAGUCGCCUCACUACUCCGUUAAGCCGAUUUUAUCGAAAGAUCUUCUCGAUCAGUUUCUUCAAUUUAAGAAGCCCUAGAAAAGCUGAUGAUUCGAUAAUGAAGUUUGAUUUCACUGUGCAACUUCGAUCUGUUUUGUAGGAGCUAGAUAGAAAAAUGUCGAGGCCGAUCAUGCUCGUCUUUCUUCUGGUUAUACUUAUAGUCACUUCUCAGUUUGAAUGGAGGCAACCACUUCUUGAGCUUGAUGCAGCUCCUAGCUUGUCUCAGAAACAUCAGCAGAUUGCUAAGAGGGAAGAAGCUGUCAAGGAGAAGAUCAUCUUGUCACAAGAGAGACAUAUCCAGAGGCUAAACGACCUUGUACGAAGUCUUCAAAUGCAGUUACAGCGAUGCAAAGGAGAGAACGAGACACGAAACGCCACUGAAACCUCCCAUCUAAACAAACAGUUUAUUGAGCUCGAGAGGAAACACAUCGUGGAAGACUAAUAUUUCCUCCGUUAUUACAACAGCUCUAAUAAAUAACACAAAUGCCACUAACAUGAAGACAUCAAACUAUCUCUCUUUAAAUCUCAAGAAACAAGAACAAGAACAAUUGUAGACUACUAGUCUUUACCAAGAAUAAUAUAUCAACAUACAUAGUACUCUUCUUGGAAGGCAAGGAACAUGAAUCAAGAAGCUGCGAGUAACCUUGAACUUGAUCUGAAACUAAAUAUUUCACCAUCGUUGGAUUCAUCUUUGCUCACUGAGAGUUCAUCGUCAUCGUUAUGCUCGGAGGAAGCUGAGGGUGGAGGAGGAGAAGCUAAAUCAAUGGUGGUCGUUGGUUGCCCUAAUUGCAUCAUGUACAUCAUCAUCUCUUUAGAAAGUGACCCUAGAUGCCCUAGAUGCAACAGCCAUGUUUUGCUUGAUUUUCUCACAGGAAACCAUAGCAAGAAGAACACUAAUUAAGAAAAAAAACAAAACAAAACAAAUUAAGAAUGUUCUUUUCCUUUCUUUCUUUUUUUAAAAAAAAAUUUGUUGCCACAUUUAUUGAUAGUUUGAAUUAAUCUACGAUGAACGGAUAUGUUCAUAAAUUGAAAUAUA